rnacentral:rRNA from 1 species
AACGAACGCUGGCGGCAUGCCUAACACAUGCAAGUCGAACGAGACCUUCGGGUCUAGUGGCGCACGGGUGCGUAACGCGUGGGAACCUGCCCUUAGGUUCGGAAUAACUCCCCGAAAGGGGUGCUAAUACCGGAUAAUGUCUUAGGACCAAAGAUUUAUCGCCUUUGGAUGGGCCCGCGUUGGAUUAGCUAGUUGGUAGGGUAAAAGCCUACCAAGGCGACGAUCCAUAGCUGGUAUGAGAGGAUGAUCAGCCACACUUGGACUGAGACACGGCCCAGACUCCUACGGGAUGCAGCAGUGGGGAAUAUUGGACAGUGGGCGGAAGCCUGAUGCAGCAAUGCCGCGUGAGUGAUGAAGGCCUUAGGGUUGUAAAGCUCUUUUACCCGGGAUGAUAAUGACGGUACCGGGAGAAUAAGCUCCGGCUAACUCCGUG